rnacentral:rRNA from 1 species
AAUAUUUGAAAAUGGGGACAACCCUGAUACAGCCAUGCCGCGUGUGUGAAGAAGGUAAUAGGAAUGUAAAGCACUUUAAGUAGAGAGAAAGGGCUUUAGAUUACUACCCUGAAGUUUUGACGAUCCCAACAGACUAAGCACCGGCUAACUCUGUGCCAGCCGCCGCGGUAAUACAGAGGGUGCAAGCGUUAAUCGGAAUUACUGGGCGUAAAGCGCGCGUAGGUGGUUCAGUAAGAUGGUGUGAAAUCCCCGGGCUUAACCUGGGAACUGCUUUCAUAACUGCUGAGCUAGAGUACGGUAGAGGGUAGUGGAAUUUCCUGUGUAGCGGUGAAAUGCGUAGAUAUAGGAAGGAACACCAGUGGCGAAGGCGACUACCUGGACUGAUACUGACACUGAGGUGCGAAAGCGUGGGGAGCAAAC